rnacentral:rRNA from 1 species
GACGAACGCUGGCGGCGUGCUUAACACAUGCAAGUCGAACGAAGUGGCGAACGGGUGAGUAACGCGUAAUCAACCUGCCCUUCAGAGGGGGACAACAGUUGGAAACGACUGCUAAUACCGCAUACUGAAGGAGGGGCUUGCGUCUGAUUAGCUAGUUGGAGGGGGAACGGGCCACCAAGGCGAUGAUCAGUAGCCGGUCUGAGAGGAUGAACGGCCAAAAUGGGACUGAGGAACGGGCCAGACUCCUACGGGAGGCAGCAGUGGGGAAUCUUCCGCAAUGGACGGAAGUCUGAAGGAGCAACGCCGCGGGAGUGAUGACGGCCUUCGGGUUGUAAAGGUAUGUUAAUCGGGACGCGGUACCGGAAUAGAAAGCCACGGCUAACUACGUGCCAGCCGCCGCGGUAAUUC